rnacentral:lncRNA from 1 species
UCUGCAACCUACACCACAGCUCACGGCAACACCGGAUCGUUAACCCACUGAGCAAGGGCAGGGACCGAACCCGCAACCUCAUGGUUCCUAGUCGGAUUCGUUAACCACUGCGCCACGACGGGAACUCCCACAUGUUAUGGGAGUUAGGUUGCUAGAAAAAGGAGUCUUAGUUCCUUUUAAAGAUAGUUUUAGAAUCAGUAUAUAGACUGCUAAACUAUUUGCCAAGGAAAGCACUUUUCUAUCUACAGUUGAAUUUUUUAGCAUAGAUAGCAGGCCAGGACUGCAUACUUCAAAGAUAGCUAAGUUUCAUGAAGAGUAGACAGUAGCAGUGUGUGGGUUCUAUCAGCUCUGUCUCAGUCUUGUGGAAUUCCAGAGACAAAAUAUAUUUUGCUUGUUCACUUCUCAAGUCUUUUCUGCUUCUCUUUAGUAGGCAAUUUAACAUCCCAACUCUGAAGCUUCAUCCUAGAUUUCUAGACAUUUCAAUGUCUAAGCUGUGAGGAAGAAUUUCGUCUGUUUCAAAUCUUCUUUCACAGGGCAGGUCUAGUUUUUGGGAAAGUCUGAAGCUUAAGAGAAAAAAAUAUAAAAUUUUUAAUAUGAAAUUAGAUGUAAAAGUAAACAAUUUAUUAAGGACAAUGAAACAAAAUCACAAAAAAUUACUGGAGGCUUGGGAAUCCAGAAUUUUUUUUUUUUUUUGAAAUCUCUUUGCCAGUUUAUCAGAAGUGCUUAUCUAGAAAUCCUUCCUGCUAUGACCCUGCUCUCCCUUUCCUGCCAGAACAUUCUGUGGCUCCCAGCACUCAGAAUGGCAGGCCCUGAUGUAUAAGCUUUAUUAAGCUUCAUCUGUCUCUCUCUGCCUUCUUCAGAGCCUGUCCUUCCAGGCCCCAUUAGUUAUCCAAGAGCAUUUACCUCUUCCAAAGGGAUGAAAACAUACCUCAGGAGGUGGUUCUCCUCAGUUAGAAUUCUGGGAUUCCUCUUGAACAGAGAGACUUAAUCUGACAGAACAGAGGUGCUGUUAGAAUUGUGUCCUUUCUCCAUUCCUAUGCUGAAAUCCUAACCUCCAGCACCUCUGAAUGAGAAGUAGGGCCUGUAUUUGGCAAUUGGGCCCUUUAAAGAGGUAAGUAAUGUAAAAUGAGGUCAUAUGGGUGGGUCCUAACUCAAUACGGCCGUUAUCCUUAUAAGGGGCAGAGAUUAGGACCCAAGCAGACACAUAAGGAAGACACAGGGAGAAGAUGACCAGCUACUAACCAAGGACAGAGGCCUCAGAAGGAACCAACGCUGCCAACACCUUGAUCUUAGACUAUCAGCUUCCAGAACUAUGAGAAAAUGAAUUUCCAAAGAGGAUAUGCCUAACCCAUCCAGGAGUCACGUGUGGGGAAGUGGAGGAUGAUCAGGUCUAGUAAUAGCCUGUUUGGGGCCAGAAGACUGGGCCUCCCCACUCCCUUUGAGAGGUGACUGCUAACACACAGGCCUAAAUUGUUGAUCUUAGCUCUCCCAGCAAUGUUUAUUUGAACAGUUCAGCAUGUCACUGAGUAGCAGGUGAUUAAGCGUGAAUUUGCAGAGAAGAGAUCAGUAGGUGGCACAGUUAGGAAACAGCCACCACCUGGAGUCAGUGGUUACCCCUACCAGGAAUGAGAUCUGAAAAGGCAGCAGGAGGGAUGGUUACAAUGCACUUGCAACAGAUUGGAAUGCAAGUCAAUCAAGUGUAAGAUAGAGGAGAAGGCGCUGCCACUGGGAGCUGCUCACAGGGAACCAACCCACUUCUCAGAGAGGACUCCUUAGGACACAGUGGCAUUCUGUAGGCUACUGACACUCAGGAUAACCCAUUCUUCCCUUAGGCUUGCAAUCCCGGAGGCAGUCCGUUUAACAUGCCAUCCUACUGGAAAGUAGUGGCCCCUCCUUCUGUCUCUAUCUCACUGUAUCCGUUUGCUAGGGAUGCUGUGCUUUCUCAUCUUUCUAUAUAGUGCAGCUGAAUAGACAGAUACCAAGAAAAUAUUCACUGAUUGCAUGCAGAGAUUUCUGAAUGAAAUAGGAGAUUUCUGAGACACUGGAAGGAAGCUUCGCUUAGUAGAGAAGGCAUGUUGGACGUAUUGUCGCUGGACAGUCUUGGAUUGUGCUCCACCAUUUAUGCCAGUAAGUGGGAAGGGCCACUUCUUUUAAACAUUAGUUUUCUCCUUUGCUGAAUGAGGCUAAAAGCAGCCUCUACUAGGACUUAUUUAAUUGAUCAUGAUGACAGAGAGAUAGAGCACAAAGUUACCAUGAGAAGUAUCUUGCCUGCCUGUUCCAGACCAUUACUCUGGUCAUGCAUCAGAUUUGUCUGAGGAGAGUUUAAAUUUAGAAGUAUCCAGGUCCAGUUCCAAGGUCUGACUCGUAAGCCUAGGGUGAACCCUGUUAAUCUGCAUUUUUAUAAAUUCCCUUCAGUGAUGCGACUUUGCAAGCAAAUUAGGGAACCUGGACUAUCCUCAUUGACUUCAGAAUCAUUCAUAAAUAAUGGGCAUUAGAGAUCUCUGGUAGAGACUUAGAGUUUACACCCUUUCUCAUUACCAUAAAACUCUGUUAAUCACAAAUUGACUCAUGAGCUUUUAUGUCUUAUACACAUGCUUGAGAGCUGCUAUAUGAAAUGCUUCAAGUUUUAGUAUAAUUAUAUUUGAUCACUUUUCCACACUUUCACCUCUAUCAAACAAAAUAAAAUGGGUUGCUCAUUAGAAAUAAAAACAUAUAGUUAUGUUUUAAAAAUAAGAAAAAAAAUCCAUAAGCUUAUCACUAAUUUCAGUCUUAAUUGUAGCAAUUGUGUGACUAUUUACAUUUCAGUAAUUCUGUUGGCUAAAAUGUGAACCUCUUAUUUACUUUUUUUAGUCUGUAUUUCUUGUCUGGUAGACACAACUGUUUGUAUAACUUGCUGAUUCCUUAACUUAAACAAAAUUCCUUGCCUGAUUUCCAUCCCUCUUGUCCUGAUACUUCCCUUUAAAACAAAAGAACAGUGGUCUUCUAAGGAAUGAUGAUUUUUUUGCCAGUUGUAUCCCUUUUGGUGGAUUUCCCCCAAGCUCUAGCAGUUAUCCCUUCAUAAAUUUGAGGGCAGCGCCCCUUUUCCUCUUGCUCCACUGUCACCCAUUCAUGCCUCUGCCAUCUAUUUGCAUUACCUAUAUGUUAUGGAUCGAACUGUGUUCUCCCCAAAUUCAUAUGUGGAAGCCCUAGCCCCACCCUUGACUCUAUUUGGAGAGGAAUCCUUUAAAAGGGUAAUUGAGAUUAGAUGAAGUCAUAAAGAUGGCGCCCUGAUCUGAAAGGACUGGUUUCCUUGUAAAAAGAGGAAGAAACCCCAGGCCAUGUACGAUCUCUCUUUCUCUUUCUCCCCUCAUCUGCACAGAGGAAAGACCAUGUGAGGACAGAGAGACAAGGUAACCAUUUCUAAGUGUGGGAGAGAGGCCUCACCAGAAGCCAACCCUGCUGGAACCUUGAUCUUAGACUUCCAGCCUCCAGAACAGUGAGAAAAUACACUUCUGUUGCUUUAGUCACCCAGCUUGUGGUAUUUUGUUAUGGCCACUCAGCCUGAUUAAUAUGCUCUUUGUCACUGUGUGCUUAGAGGAACUGGCUUCCCUCUUUCCAGAUCAUCCUACGCAAGUAGCACAAUCAGCACAGCUAUUACAGAAGCUUUCUAUUGCUGCAUGCCAGUUUACCACAACCUUAGUGAUUUAAAACAACGCCCAUUUAUUAUCUCACAGUUUUUAUAAUUUCAGUAGUGUGGGCACAGGGUAACUAGGUUCCCUGCUCAAAGCCUUGCAAGCUGCAGUUAAGGUGCAGUUGGAAUAGUAGUCUCAUCUGAAAUUAAGAGGGCUCUUCUAAGCAUAUGAUUUUUGGCAGAAUUCAUUUUCAUGCAGCUGUAGAAUUCACAGUGGCUCUUUUAAACUCAGUAGAGAAUCUCUGAAAUUUACAGUCUUUUUUAAAGAGCUAAUCCGAUUAGGCCCAUCUAUUACAAUCCUGUCUUGAUAGAGUCAGAGUCAACUGGUUAAGAUUCUUAAUUAUCUGUAAAAAUUCCCUUUGUCCAUCAUAUGCAAAGGUCUUGUCCAAAAUCAAGGUGAGGGAAUUGCACAUGGUGCCUAUAUACUAGGGGGUGAGAAUCUUGAGGGCUGUCUUAGAUUUCUCCCUACCCUAUGUCUGAUUCCUUGAUUCCGAUUCAGUACUAAAGGUUAUGCACAAUUGCUUUGAUAUGUAGUUUCUGUUGUAAUCAAGCAUAAAAUGAUAUACAAAUGAAAAGAUGGCAAUGUACAUAAUAAGCAUUAGUGCUGUCGGAGUGGUGCAGGCACAAAACAGGUAAUGUUACAAUAAUAUAAUCAUUAUUUAUUGAUCAAGUAAAUAGUCACUUCUCAUUCUGCCAAUGAAUAUGCUCUUAUCUCUAUAUGCUUAGUCAAUAUUUAAAAUAAUCACACAAUGAUGAGGUAUUUUCAGCAUUAUUAUGAUUUUGAUCAGUUAAUAAACCCUGCCUAUUAAAUAUUAUAGAAAUUUUGGUUUUGUUUUCUUCUGAUGGGUUGGACAGAAUUAAUGGUAGCCCUGUAUAUGGAGUAAAUGGAGCAGGAAGGCUUAGGGUCAAGUGGCCUUCUCAAGGAUGCUAGUUCAAGGUGGCCAGAGGAAUCAUAUAAAGAGAGCACUGUUGAGGGAAACCAAGGUUGAAGCUAGGAAAGUGGUGGUAAGGGACAGAUUCAGCAGGUAAGAUAAGGAUGAAAAUGGGCAGCAAAGUUAGUAGACAGAUGUUAGAAGGCAGUAUGAAGUCAGCUGCAAGGAAGAGAUCUGAGAGAGCGAUUUAGAACUAAAACAGUGAACAGAAUGGGAGGGCAGGCUCUCCUGUUUUACACUGUUCCUGGUGUAGGCAUCAGGGGAAGUGUGGGAUUGGCAACCUAAGGAAUUGCACAGUAUCUUAUGCCCUAGGUGGAGCCUUUCUGUGGAUUUAUAGGAUACCUCUAUUCUGUGUACUUAUAGUGCACAACUUAAUGGGCCAUAAACAGAUAAUCUGUGGUAAAUUCUGUUUAAUUUAGAAACUAAAAUAUUUUCCCAUGGAUUCAGUGUUACACGAAGCUUGAUUAGAUUUUCAAGGCAAUCCAAGAACACUAUUUAAUGUCUAUUUUACUAAGAAUGUUAUAGAAAUGUUUAAAUGGUUUUUUUGGAAAUCAAAAUAUGUUAUCUUUUCAGAUUGCUUUAUAAGAAAUAGUUCUAAUGUAUGUAUUAUCAGUUUCUUAAGUCAUGAGUAACUAAAAUACUUCUGUAACUUACCGCAAUUUGCUUGAAAUUAUAAUUUUUUGAUUUCUUCAUCUUGUGUGAAUAAGUGCAUUAAUUUCCAUUUAAACUUUGAUUUGAUAUUAAAAUUAGAACAACUUGUUCAAAUCCUGUAGUUUUUAUAUUGAAUAAAUAUUGCUAAAUUUUCAUUGAACAAGUUGGCUUAAAUUUAGUUUUGGAAAGUCAUCAAAAUAUUUUCCUUCCUCAUUUAUUACUUCAGAUCCAAAUUCAUUUUCAUUUUCUUCCUUGGUAAAGUUACUUUAUUAGGCAUCUCCUUGCUCAGCUUAUAUACACUAAAUUUGUUUGUAGUAGCAACUCAUUUUAUAUAUUACACAUUCUAUGCUUUUAUGUUCGGGAGCAUAAUAUAUAUGUAUUGUAUACAUUUGGUCCCAUAUUAAAUUACUAUGAGACUUCUUUCACUUUUAUGGCUAUGAAGAACCUUUUGAGGUUACCCUAUAGUAAUAGCCCAUUCAAUCUACUAAAAAAAUGAGAACUAUUCAGAAAAAGUGAAUAAUAUGUCCAAUAUAGCACAAGUUAAAACUGAGAUAUAACCAGAAUUCUGAUGUCUUAACUCCCUAUUCAGUGACUCUUUUUGAUAUACCAUGCCACCUUGCCUGUAGCAUUUGUUUUCAUUUUAGAUUCUGGGCUGGACUACUUUCCAAAUAAGUAUCUUAUGUAUAAUUUUAUGCAAUUUCACAAUUUAAAAAAGUCAACCAAAUAAUGCAAAGGGGUUAGCAGAAUCUUUAGAUUGAAAGAGGCAUAUGAUCCUGUACUCCCUUCUCAAACUUUAAUCACGUUGCUUUGUAGUAAUGUUAAGAAGGAUUAAAUAUUGAGCCUAAGGGCACUGAGACGUGAGUAGCAUAGAACUUAGUUCUAUAGCCUCCCCCUCUGCACAAAUGGAAAAGAUUCAUGACCACAUUGUUUAGCUGUUUAAACUCCUAGAAAAAAAAAAAGAAGAAGUAUGAUAAUAAGAUUUAGCCAUGUUAACUUAUAAAACGUGAUACUUAUGAAGUUUAAGGAACAAGAAAGUACAGAGUUGUAGAUCUAGGUGCUUCUACAUUUCAGAAAUCACUCAGAGUUUAAUCAUUCAUGAAACAAGAGUUUACUGAGUUUCUUUGGUUAGACAGGUGUUCCCCACCCUCCAGACACUUAUUAUUUGAGGUGAAAAGGAAAAAUGACAGAGAGAAGGU